rnacentral:rRNA from 1 species
UACAGAGGGGGCAAGCGUUGUUCGGAAUUACUGGGCGUAAAGGGCGCGUAGGCGGCCUUCUAAGUCGAACGUGAAAUCCCUGGGCUCAACCCAGGAACUGCGUCCGAUACUGGAAGGCUUGAAUCCGGGAGAGGGAUGCGGAAUUCCAGGUGUAGCGGUGAAAUGCGUAGAUAUCAGGAGGAACACCGGUGGCGAAGGCGGCAUCCUGGACCAACACUGACGCUGAGGAGCGAAAGCCAGGGGAGCAAACGGG